CAUGCAUGUCUAAGUAUAAGCAAUUAUACCGUGAAACUGCGAAUGGCUCAUUAAAUCAGUUAUCGUUUAUUUGAUAGUACCUUACUACUUGGAUAACCGUGGUAAUUCUAGAGCUAAUACAUGCUAAAAACCCCAACUUCGGGAGGGGUGUAUUUAUUAGAUAAAAAACCAAUGCCCUUCGGGGCUCCUUGGUGAUUCAUGAUAACUUCUCAGAUCGCAUGGCUUUACGCCGGCGACGGUUCAUUCAAAUUUCUGCCCUAUCAACUUUCGAUGGUAAGGUAGUGGCUUACCAUGGUUUCAACGGGUAACGGGGAAUUAGGGUUCGAUUCCGGAGAGGGAGCCGGAGGAACGGCUACCACAUCCAAGGAAGGCAGCAGGCGCGCAAAUUACCCAAUUCCGAUACGGGGAGGUAGUGACAAUAAAUACUGAUACAGGGCUCUUUUGGGUCUUGUAAUUGGAAUGAGUACAAUUUAAAUACCUUAACGAGGAACAAUUGGAGGGCAAGUCUGGUGCCAGCAGCCGCGGUAAUUCCAGCUCCAAUAGCGUAUAUUAAAGUUGUUGCAGUUAAAAAGCUCGUAGUUGAACCUUUGGCCUGGCUGGCAGGUCCGCCUCACCGCGUGCACUUGUCCGGCCGGGCCUUUUCUUCUGGAGAACCGCAUGCCCUUCACUGGGUGUGUUGGGGAACCAGGACUUUUACUUUGAAAAAAUUAGAGUGUUCAAAGCAGGCCUUUGCUCGAAUACGUUAGCAUGGAAUAAUAGAAUAGGACGUGCGGUCCUAUUUUGUUGGUUUCUAGGACCGCCGUAAUGAUUAAUAGGGACAGUCGGGGGAAUCAGUAUUCAAUUGUCAGAGGUGAAAUUCUUGGAUUUAUUGAGGACUAACUACUGCGAAAGCAUUUGCCAAGGAUGUUUUCAUUAAUCAGUGAACGAAAGUUAGGGGAUCGAAGACGAUCAGAUACCGUCGUAGUCUUAACCAUAAACUAUGCCGACUAGGGAUCGGGCGGUGUUUCUAUUGUGACCCGCUCGGCACCUUACGAGAAAUCAAAGUGUUUGGGUUCUGGGGGGAG
rnacentral:rRNA from 1 species